GACGAACGCUGGCGGCGUGCUUAACACAUGCAAGUCGAGCGGAAAGGCCCUUCGGGGUACUCGAGCGGCGAACGGGUGGGUAACACGUGAGUAACCUGCCCCAGACUUUGGGAUAACCCUCGGAAACGGGGGCUAAUACCGGAUACGACACAGCUUCGCAUGGGUUCUGUGUGGACAGGUUUUCGGUUUGGGAUGGGCUCGCAGCCUAUCAGCUUGUUGGGGGGGUGAUGGCGUACCAAGGGGACGACGGGUAGCCGGCCUGAGCGGGCGACCGGCCACACCGGGCCUGAGACAAGGCCCAGCCUAGACUGGGAGGCAGGAGUGGGGAAUAUUGUACAAUGGGCGGAAGGAUGGUGUGGCGCAGCAGCGUGAGGGAUGAGGGGAUUCGGGUUGUAAACCUCUUUCCGCAGGGACGAAGCGUAAGUGACGGUACCUGCAGAAGAAGCGCCGGCCAACUACGUG
rnacentral:rRNA from 1 species